rnacentral:rRNA from 1 species
AGUGAACGCUGGCGGUAGGCCUAACACAUGCGAGUCGAACGGCAGCACAGUAAGAGCUUGCUCUUACGGGUGGCGAGUGGCGGACGGGUGAGGAAUACAUCGGAAUCUACUUUUUCGUGGGGGAUAACGUAGGGAAACUUACUCUAAUACCGCAUACGACCUACGGGUGAAAGCAUGGGAUCUUCGGACCUUGCGCGAUUGAAUGAGCCGAUGUCGGAUUAGCUAGUUGGCGGGGUAAAGGCCCACCCAGGCGACGAUCCGUAGCUGGUCUGAGAGGAUGAUCAGCCACACUGGAACUGAGACACGGUCCAGACUCCUACGGGAGGCAGCAGUGGGGAAUAUUGGACAAUGGGCGCAAGCCUGAUACAGCCAUACCGCGUGGGUGAAGAAGGCCUUCGGGUUGUAAAGCCCUUUUGUUGGGAAAGAAAAGCAGCAGGUUAAUACCCCGCUGUUCUGACGGUACCCAAAGAAUAAGCACCGGCUAACUUCGUG